UACGUAGGGUGCGAGCGUUGUCCGGAAUUAUUGGGCGUAAAGGGCUCGUAGGCGGUUUGUCGCGUCGGGAGUGAAAACCAUGGGCUUAACUCAUGGCGUGCUUCCGAUACGGGCAGACUAGAGGCAUGCAGGGGGAGGACGGAAUUCCUGGUGUAGCGGUGAAAUGCGCAGAUAUCAGGAGGAACACCGGUGGCGAAGGCGGUUCUCUGGGCAUGUCCUGACGCUGAGGUGCGAAAGCGUGGGGAGCAAACAGG
rnacentral:rRNA from 1 species